rfam:Myotis lucifugus cont2.47020, whole genome shotgun sequence.
GCUGGUUUUGCUCAGUGGAUAGAGCAUUGGCCUGUGGACCAAAGGGAUCCAGGUUCAAUUCCGGGAGAGGGCA